CAGUAGCGUAUAUUAAAGUUGUUGCAGUUAAAAAAGCUCGUAGUUGGAUUUCUGGUACAACGCGCCUGGCCCGCUUACGUGAGUGCCGGUGCGCGUUUGCCAUCCUUCUAGAAAACGUCUCUACUCGGGCAACUGAGCCGGAUUCGCGAUCUAGAUCUUUUACUUUGAAAAAAUUAGAGUGUUUAAAGCAGGCUAUUGCCUUGAAUACAUUAGCAUGGAAUAAUAAUCUAGGACUUCGGUUCUAUUUUGUUGGUUUCUAGGACCGCCGUAAUGAUUAAUAGGGAUAGUCGGGGGCGUCAGUAUUCAGCUGUCAGAGGUGAAAUUCUUGGAUUUGCUGAAGACUAACUACUGCGAAAGCAUUCGCCAAGGAUGUUUUUCAUUAAUCAGGGAACGAAAGUUAGGGGAUCGAAGACGAUC
rnacentral:rRNA from 1 species